GAUGAACGCUGGCGGCGUGCUUAACACAUGCAAGUCGAACGGAAAGGCUCCUGCUUGCAGGGGUACUCGAGUGGCGAACGGGUGAGUAACACGUGGGUGAUCUGCCCUGCACUUCGGGAUAAGCCUGGGAAACUGGGUCUAAUACCGGAUAGGACCACAUUUUGGAUGGUGUGGUGGAAAGUUUUUCGGUGUGGGAUGAGCUCGCGGCCUAUCAGCUUGUUGGUGGGGUAAUGGCCUACCAAGGCGUCGACGGGUAGCCGGCCUGAGAGGGUGUACGGCCACAUUGGGACUGAGAUACGGCCCAGACUCCUACGGGAGGCAGCAGUGGGGAAUAUUGCACAAUGGGCGCAAGCCUGAUGCAGCGACGCCGCGUGGGGGAUGACGGCCUUCGGGUUGUAAACUCCUUUCGCUAGGGACGAAGCGCAAGUGACGGUACCUGGAGAAGAAGCACCGGUUAACUACGUG
rnacentral:rRNA from 1 species